CCUACGGGUGGCAGCAGUGGGGAAUAUUGGACAAUGGGCGAAAGCCUGAUCCAGCCAUGCCGCGUGUGUGAAGAAGGCCUUCGGGUUGUAAAGCACUUUCAGUGGGGAAGAAAGCCUUGGGGCUAAUACCCUCGAGGAAGGACAUCACCCACAGAAGAAGCACCGGCUAACUCCGUGCCAACAGCCGCGGUAAUACGGAGGGUGCGAGCGUUAAUCGGAAUUACUGGGCGUAAAGCGCGCGUAGGCGGUCUGAUAAGCCGGUUGUGAAAGCCCCGGGCUCAACCUGGGAACGGCAUCCGGAACUGUCAGGCUAGAGUGCAGGAGAGGAAGGUAGAAUUCCCGGUGUAGCGGUGAAAUGCGUAGAGAUCGGGAGGAAUACCAGUGGCGAAGGCGGCCUUCUGGACUGACACUGACGCUGAGGUGCGAAAGCGUGGGUAGCAAACAGGAUUAGAUACCCCGGUAGUC
rnacentral:rRNA from 1 species